rnacentral:rRNA from 1 species
GAUGAACGCUGGCGGCGUGCCUAAUACAUGCAAGUCGAGCGAAGCGGGGACGGGUGAGUAACACGUGGAUAAACCCCUAUAUGAAUGGGAUAACUUCCGGAAACCGGAGCUAAACCCGCAACUUAUAGAUGGAUCCGCGCUGCAUUAGCUAGUUGGUAAGGUAACGGCUUACCAAGGCAACGAUGCCUAGCCGACCUGAGAGGGUGGACGGGCACCCUUGGACUGAGACACGGGCCAGACUCCUACGGGAGGCAGCAGUAGGGAAUCUUCGGCAAAGGGGGGAACCCUGACUGAGGAACUCCGGGGUAGUGAAGAAGGUUUUCGGGUCGGAAAGCUAUGUUGUUAAGGAAGCGGUACUUAACCAGAAAGGAACGGCUAACUACGUGCCAGCAGCCGCGGUAAUAC